AGAAAUAGCUGGGCUCCUGGCGGAGGCGGAGAGCAGUACACACAGGAAUGGAGGUGCGAGCAGCCAGCGCCUGGGGCACAGGGUGGGGGUUGUCUUCUUGGGCUUGUCCCGUCAUUCUUGUUUGGGAGGGGGAAGGGGAAGGGGCAUGUGGUCUGUGGCCCGGAGGGGGCCUGUCCGAGGCCCUUCUUCUCCUUCCUGGGGCCUCCCCAUCUGUCUCCCAAGCCUGGCCUGCCCGGGCUCACGGGGGGCAUCACAACAGCCCCAGAGCCCUGGCCUCACCUUCCUGCCUCUAGCUUUCCAUGAGAAGCAGGCUAUGAAGGGGUGGGGUGGGGUUCCAGAGCUCAGGAUCAUUCUAGCAUUUCUAGGGGGUAGUCCCUGGUGGUGCUGGGCAGCUCCGUGCCUGACUCAUCUGAAAACACUUUAUAAAUAACCUGGCAGAGGGACGUGGGCUGUCCACCCCCGUACCCGCCACACUCUGUGAGCAGGUGGCAGCACCGAGGUCCUGAGGGCUUUUGAGAUGUCCAGGGCAGGGUUCUGGUCAGAAGCCAGGCCCAGGGGGAUGCCGGGAGGGAGUGUUGUCCACCUCUGGUGAAUGGCGCUGCGGGGGUUCUGGGCACCAUGGAGUCCUCCUCUCAGCUGUGAUGUUGUCAGCGCCACAACCUUCGAUGGGAGCAUUGGGGAUUUCUGGCUGGGCAAACUGAGCCACUAUGGACUAAAGUUGCUGGGAAACCUGGGAUGAGUCACUUCCCUUCUCUGGGAACCCUCAUUGGUAAAAUGAAAAGGUUGAACUAGGAAAUCCCACUGGGCCUGGAAGAAAUGUCAGUGUGGGAAGAUCUCUCUCAAGGCAUCACCAUAAAUCUUUUCCUGUUUUCCUCUUGAAAGACAAGAUUUGGAAAAGUCAGUGCCGAGAUUGCAGCCUCUGCCCGGCCGCCACU